AUGAUGAGCCCGACCAAACACGAAGAGUGAAGACGCGGCAGCUGACUGA
rnacentral:snoRNA from 1 species